rnacentral:rRNA from 1 species
UACGAGGGGAGCAAGCGUUGUUCGGAUUUACUGGGCGUAAAGGGCGCGUAGGCGGCGUGACAAGUCACUUGUGAAAUCUCCGGGCUUAACUCGGAACGGUCAAGUGAUACUGUCGUGCUAGAGUACAGAAGGGGCAACUGGAAUUCUCGGUGUAGCGGUGAAAUGCGUAGAUAUCGAGAGGAACACCUGCGGCGAAGGCGGGUUGCUGGGCUGAUACUGACGCUGAGGCGCGAAAGCCAGGGGAGCGAACGGG